UCUCCGUAGGUGAACCUGCGGAGGGAUCACUACAGGCUUGCAAAAGCUCUGAAACCACUGUUUAUCUACCUGAAUCUGCUUCGGCGGGCGGCCCCAGGGCGGGGCCGUAGCCGCAAGGCGCCCGCCGAAGACCCCUAAACUCUGUCGUCUUGAGAAUCUCUUAGUAUCAUAUUAAACAGAAAACAACUUUUAACAACGGAUCUCUUGGUUCUG
rnacentral:misc_RNA from 1 species